rfam:Triticum aestivum genome assembly, contig: Triticum_aestivum_CS42_TGACv1_scaffold_200960_3AL
AUUCUACUCCCUCCGUUGCACAAUACAUGCCUUCUAUUUGUCAAAAUAUAUAUGUAUCUAGACAUGUCUUAGUAUAUAGGUACAUCCAUUUUUGGACAAAUGGAAGUCAAGUAUUUUGUAACGGAGGGAGUACACA